UACGAAGGGGGCUAGCGUUGCUCGGAAUGACUGGGCGUAAAGGGCGCGUAGGCGGUUCGUACAGUCAGACGUGAAAUCCCCGGGCUUAACCUGGGAAUGGCAUUUGGGACUGCAAGGCUUGAGUGCGGCAGAGGAGACUGGAAUUCCUGGUGUAGCAGUGAAAUGCGUAGAUAUCAGGAGGAACACCGAUGGCGAAGGCAGGUCUCUGGGCUGACACUGACGCUCAUGCACGAAAGCGUGGGGAGCAAACAGG
rnacentral:rRNA from 1 species